GGUACAGCUUCCUAGGACCAUGGGAACACAACCCCAAGCAGAGGCUGCCUGUUAUUACCCAGAAGGCCAAUAGAGGGCUCCCGAGAACACUGAGCAAAAUUCGGUGGAAGUCACCCCCAGGAAGCUCUGUGGGAAUGGUAGAGACAUAUGGUUAUCUCCUGCUGAAGGAUGGAGCUGGAGUCAGAUGGGAAAGCCCACAAGGAAAGACCUGCCUUCUCCUGCAUUGGUGGAGACUUGGACUUGAGAGACUUUAAGGUUCCCCCUGCGUGCAAGCGAGGACAUUGAUCGUUCUUCUGGCAUUAGCUGACAGUGCUUUAUAAAACACUUGCAUGUUAGAUAUGUUAAAGCCUUGAUUAUGUUCCCUGUGUCAUCCAAGGAAAGCAGUUAUAUAAUGUUUCUGGGCAUCAUUUUAUUUUUUUCUAGUUUAAAAUAUUCUAGAGAGAAACUGGAGUUGUGGGUCUGACUUUCUAAGACCUUUGUGAAAAUACUGUUUUAUUAGUAUUACUAUGUAUGUGCACAUGUGUGUGUAGAAGUCAGGGGACAACUCUGUGGAGUUCCUUUUCUUCUUCCACUUUAGUGUGCCUUUCGGAGAGCAAACUCAGGCCAUCGGGCUUGCACGGCAAGUGCCGUGAUCUGUUAGCCAUCUUGCCAAGCCCCUCUAAGAUCAUUUAAGGUAUAACUUCCUAUUACUACAAAUUAUUGAAAGUAUAUUGAAGAAACUGCAUCUGAAUUAUUCUUAAGAGGAGGUAAUCCUGUCCUACAAUGCAUGCCUGAUUCUGUUGUUUUAGCAGUGGUGGGAAUGAGGCCUUCACUUUGAUAAGCAACGAGUUAAGACAGUACGGAGGAGGUGAGAGCCAACAGCAGUAGCCAACAGGCAGAAUAAAAGCCCAAUCUUAGCCUCUACACAUUGGGUAGAGGCUCCUUGGCUUCUGUAUAAUGACAGAAUGAUCCACAGUCCUCACCUGCUGUGAUUUGUGCAGGUCAGGCAAGAGAACGCAGUAAAACUGCUUUGCAUACCAUGCUGUGCCCACAAAUGUCCAUCUGCUAACAGAUGCAGGAACUUAAUAGCCCAUGUUCAUUGGCAUGGUAUGUGUGCAUGUCUUGAUUUCCUCCUUCGCCGAACUUAAGAUCCCACAUCAACCACACCGUGGCCACAGUUGCCCUUGUAAUAUUCAACAGAAAUAUUCAGCACAAAUUCAACAGGAAACAAACCAGAAGAGAGAUACAGAAAUGUUCCUGAGGGGUGUGUUUAGAAUAGAGGGUUGGCCGGGAGUCUGACUAAAGCUAGGUUAUCAGUAGACAACUCUGCAGUGACGUGUGAAGAAGGAAGGAAGAUGUCUCAUGACUCAUUUAGUCGCUCGUCCUUUCUGUGACUGGUUGCUUGAAGGUUUAUGAAUACACAUUUUAGAACUGAGAGCAGAGCCAGGGUCCUGCAAUUGGGUUAGGUAUUUUGUCUUCAAGCAUAUGCUGACACGUACCUAUUUGCCAAAUGCGGUGUCAACUGUGAAGGAGGCAAUAAAAGAUGUGUAGGGCAUUAUUCCUCCCUUCAAGGAACAAUAAAUAUCCUGCCCGUUGUUUAGCAAACAGUUUAAAAGAUAGGGACAGAUAGAUGUUGGUUCUGUUUAUUGAACUUGAUGUACAUCAAGGAGACAGUACAACACAGUGGUUAAUAAUAAAAGCCUUGAAGCCAGACAGCCCUGGGGCUAAACCCAAGCCCUGCUAACUAUGCUUUCUCUUGAGCAAGGUUUGUGGUUUGCUCAGUUUUCUCAACCUUGGUUUCCUCUAUCAAGUUUGCCUACCUUGUUGGGUGGCUGUAAGGAUCAGAGGGGCUGAUUGUGCACAUUGUACUCUGAGGACCAUGCAGGAAACUCAUCGCUGUCUCUGCAUCUUCAUGGCAGAGACACAGUACCCAGUCAUGGUGUGUUUCAAAAUGGAGGUGGCAGGAACUAGAAGGAGCAUCCCGGAAAGGCUUUAUGGGAACUGGCCUUUGGACCCCUUAAAGGGUAAGAGGAUUUACCUUAGACAGGGAAAAUGAAAAGGGUCAUUCUAGAAGGGGUAUGGAGUGGGUGGGGGAGGGAGCACAGCACAAGAGGGGAGACGGGGAAAUGUAGUGUGUCAGGAAUGGCAAGACAGCCAUUUUGCUGUAAACAAAAAGCACACGUUAUGAUCUGCUUAAUGUAUUCAUCUUGACUUGGAAAUUUCCAUAAAGAUAUCUUGCCAUGCCUCUCUGUAUAUGAAAGUGACUCAAUUAUCCUAAUGCCUUGCUGGUCUGAAUUGGAAGGCAGUUAUGUGAAAUCUUGAUGGUGGUAAAAUUUGUUUUCUGGAAUUCUCAGCCACUUCUAACUGGUUUUCCAUUUCACUG
rnacentral:lncRNA from 1 species